CAGGCAGCUUUGGAGAGGAAGGCCUCCUCCCGCCAGCCCAGAGACGGAGCAACGACACCGAGCCCAGAACCCCAGGCGGGGGCUGGACUGACCACGUCCUGUUGGCCGCUUCUGGGACAUUGAUUAGACCUCACUGGGCCUGACUCCUCUCUAUAAAAGAAGGUUGAAACCCCAAUACUUGGGACACCUGAUUCAAAGAGCCAACUCAUUGGAAAAGACCCUGAUGCUGGGAAAGAUUGAAGGCAAGAGAAGAAAGGGAUGACAGAGGACGAGAUGGUUGGAUGGCAUUACUGACUCGAUGGACACGAGUUUGAGCAAGCUCUGGGAGUUGGUGAUGAGCAGGGAAACAUGGUGUGCUGCAGUCCAUGGGGUCACAAAGAGUCGGACACAGCUGAGCGAUUGAGCAACUUUCCAAGAGAGAAAGCAACCGGAGCCCAGAGAUGUCAAGUGACAGGCUCAAGGUCACACAGCAGUUCUCUCCCAGGACCUGGACGAGCCCUGGUCAUCCAACAAGCCCCCGCUGAGCCCAGUGGAUCUGUGGCUGGAGAGCCCUGGAUUCCAGGUAAGGUAAUGCUGCUUAUGAACUGUCCUGCCUGGGGUUGGUCAAUUCUCUCCCCCAUGCCUCAGUCUCCUCAUCAGUAAAGUGGGGCCACAGUGGCAUAUGCACUAACACUGUAAGGAUUCACAGUCUCGCCUCAAACAGCCAGCCUCCCUGCCCUCCUUUGUCCCUGUGAACACUGUAAGGAAACGUGUGAGCAGAAAAGUGCAGGCAUCAGCACUCAGAUCUCCAAGAAGGGGGAUUCCGGUAUCUUGCUUCCACUUGUAAUGGACAGUGGCACCAUCACACCACAUCAUUCCGUGUGGGCCCCCAGAUCCAGCCUCCCUAGGAUGAUACCGUGUUCGGAAUAAUCUCAGAGCCACCGGAAACCCGAGUUCCCUCAGCCGUCUGUGCACUUCUCCUGGCGGGGGGGAAACAGGAACUUCUGACAACAGUAUCCUCAUAGAUGCCCCAUGUGGCAAUACCCAAGGAGUGUUCACUGCCCCUGUGCCAUUGGCCCAGCCGACAGGGGGUUUCCGGGGAGCCUGGGGUAGGGUUUCGACAUCUUGACCUGGAGAUCACAUGAGCAGAGCAUCGGUGGAGACCAGGGAACUCCAGAAAACCAGGCUGCGGGAGCACUUUAGCAAGAGCUGAGUGAGGUCAGAAAAGCUCUGCUGUCUGGGUGGUGGUGGCCAGAGAGGCCAGCCCAGGGUCAGCCAGCCACUCCUUCCAGGAGCCAGGGCGAGCAUGACAGGCUGUCCUAGAGACCGCCCUCCCGAGCCCUGGGCACCCGUAAGUCUUGUCAGAUGUGAACCGGGAGGCUCGGGGUGCAUGAGUAGUGGAACCUUGGGAGUUAAUCAGCUCGUGAAAGAAAGAGUCAGGGUUCCCCCUUCCUCCAUCUGCCUUUCUCAGAAGGAAGUCCGGGCUUCUUCAGACCCUUCCACAACUGUGCCCAAAUCCAGUUACUAUUUUAAAAAGUACUUCUCAACCACAGAUGCCCAAUCUUAUCUUACAUGGCUACAGAUGACCCUGGAAAGGCAGACAGGGUUAUCAUGUCCACUUGACAGAUGAGAAAACCUGAGGCUCUCAGAGACUCUGUGACUCACUUAAGGCCAAGAUUCAAGUUCGGGCUCUCUAGUCCAGCCACCCAGGUCACUUCAGAAGAGGGGCCACCAGCAACAGCACAAUGGCAGCAAAGCCACAUUCCUACAUGACCAUGACUCAAAUGUUUCUAAAGUGUUUUCACAGCCACCCCAACAUCUAGUCAUGGACAGCCCUUUCUGACCCACAAUCCCCAUGUAAGUGGGAAAUUGUCUCUUCCCAUAUUAAAGAUGACAAAAAGGAUCAGAGAGUUACAGUGACUUGCCUAAGGUCACACAGCUAAAAAGUGAUAGGUCUAAUUUUCUUGGGCUCCAAAAUCACUGCAGAUGGCAACUGCAGCCAUGAAGUUAAAAGACACUUGCUCCUUGAAAGAAAAGCUAUGACAUACCUAGACAGCAUAUUAAAAAGCAGAGACGUCACUUUGCCAACAAAAGUCUGUAUAGUCAAAGCUAUGGUUUUUCCGGUAGUCAUGUAUGGAUGUGAGAGCUGGAUCAUAAAGAAGGCUGAGUGCUUGAGAACUGAUGCUUCAGAAUUGUGGUGCUGGGCAACACUCUUGAGAGUUUCUGGACAGGACUCAAGACUGCAAGGAGAUCAAACCAGUCAAUUCUAAAGGAAAUCAACCCUGAUAUUCACUGGAAGGAAAAUGCUGAAGCUGCAAUACUUUGGCCACCUGCUGUGAAGAGCCGACUCAUUGGAAAAGACCCUGGUGCUGGGAAAGAUUGUGAGCAGAAGGAGAAGUGGGUGACAGAGGAUGAGAUGGCUGGAUGGCAUCGCUGACUCAAUGAAUAUGAAGUUGAGCAAACUCCAGGAGAUGGUGAAGGACAGGGAAGCCUGGCAUGUUGCAGUUCACGAGGUUGCAGAGUCGGACACAACUUAACAGUUGAACAAGAACUAGGUCUCAAACCUACACUGUCCAGCUUCCCCAUACUCUGUUCACCAAACCAUACUCCUGGCCAUCUUCAUACUAGUGGGAUGAAGAUAUGGACCCCGGUGAGAGUGUGGUCCUGGUCCCCUGUUCUCCCAGGCCCCACGGCCCUGAGCCACUAUCCCCAAGGUCACCAGAAAGCAGCUUUAGCAAGACCUGCUGGGGGCAGAGCAACCAGGAAGCCUGCAAGGGCACUCAGGUGGGCAGGACCAUCGACAACACUCCCUGUCCUCUGCAGCUUGGCCAUCGCCCACACGUAGCCACACUCGGAGAACCAGGAAGAGACUUUCGGAUGUUCAACAAGGUUCUGGAGUGACACUGCCCACUUGUCUCUCCAUUCCUGGCAGGGUGACACCCCAACAGCAUUUUAGGGGACAAGGAGUGGGGAAGGAGAAAACUGACAUGGACAGAGAGCUCAGCUCUGGAUGAGGGAUCCUUUUAUUCAUUCAUUUAUUCUACAAAUAUUAAUAAACACGCUGGGCUAGGAGCUCUCACAUUUCCUCUUUCAUGGAUUCGUACAAGCAGCGCCAAGGAAGCCUUUCACCACACAGAUGCUGAGAAGGCAGAGAGGUGGGAUAACUUGGGAAGCGAGUGCUGCAGUAGGGAGGGGUCUGUGGUCCUGGGGCUGGCCUGGCUCUGCCACUCGUUGCUCGCUGUGUGAUCCACAUAAAUCUGUGCCCUCGUGGGGCCGUGGUCUCAUUUCUGAGGCUUCUGAGGGAAGGUUCACUUUCAGAGUGCAUGAAGUAGCCCCUUCUCAGACGUCACCUGCCGUGACUCAUGGUCUCUGCCUUGGGUGGGCAGAAGCAUCCUUGGUGAGGACAGCCACGCCCAUGAGAAGGAAAGAAGGAAUAGGGGCAGCUGGCUGGAGAGAGGGCUCAUUCUCCCUGAGCCCAGCCAAAGACUGGCACUUUUCUCUCUUCAUUAGACUCAGCCAGAGAAGGGAGAGGAAAAAGAGGAACGAACUUUUGGGACUACCCUGGGUCAGCCCCAGCCAAGCAUUUUCACAUUGUAUCUUGUCUAGUUUAUAAGAUAACCCAGGGACACCCAGACUGAGGCUCAGAGAGGGAAAGUGACUUGCCCCAGAUCACACAGCUAGGACAGGGAGGGGCUGCAGUAGGAACACAAGUCUGUUCGCCUUCAAAGAAAGAAGAUGGUAUUGAUCAGUAAGAUCCUGGCUAAUCCUGGUUUUAUAAGGGGCCUGAAGGAAGAGAAGGAGCCAGCAGCAUAGAUCUCAGAGGAGCUUCAACGUCAGCCAGAGUGUCAUGAGUCCUAGUUCUGGGAAGUGCUGGGCUCUGGUUAAAAGCUAGGAGCUCCAUGGAUGCAUGCUGCAUGUUAAGUUGCCUCAGUCAUGUCCAACCCUUUGCACCUCCAUGAACCAUGGCCCAUCAGGCUCCUCUGCCCAUGAGACUCUCCAGGUAAGAAUACUGGACUGGGUUGCCAUGCUCUUCUCCAGGGGAUCUUUCCGACCCAGGGAUCCAACCCACGUUUCUCACAUCUUCUGCAUUGGCAGGAGGGUUCUUUACCUCUAGCGCCACCUGGGAAGCCUCACCACCAAAGAAGAAGAUGGAUAUUUCUCCUGUGUCUCUUCUCUGUGGACUUUCAGCCCAAAUGAGCCCUAGACAGUGAUUUCCUUCCAUCCUCUCACAAGUCUGGGACUCUCCUUCCAUGUUCACCCCAACAAGGAGGUGGAGCACAGGGUCACCAUCACCUGAAUAUCAUCCUGGUGAAGUUCUCAAAUCUUUCCAUCAAAGAAACCCUAAGAAGGGAGGACACCAGCAGGUCUCCCUUGGGGAAGUCCAGCGACAUGCGCCAAAGCUGGUCCCACAAGCCAAAAUGCCUUUAGUCUCUUGUUUAUCCUUAAAAUGCACGUAUACAAUUCUGCUUCAUGAUCUAUACAUGUGACUCUCCAUGUGAUGAAAUAUGCCUGCACUUAAUCAUUCUCCUGAAAGAUGAGCUAAGUUUACAUGUGAUUCCCCGGGCCUCUGGCAUCCUGCAUGGACUCCAGGGACAUGGGCACCCAGGAUUAAGAUGCACAAAGCAGAGGAACCCCAGCCUCGGGUUCUAAUCAUCACUUGCUAUGGACACAUUGUAUGCCGUUGCUUGAACAAAGAGAGGGGCUGUUGGGGCUCUUGGUUCCACCUUCCCAGGCAGCUCAUGACCCCGAGGAUCCCAGUGCAGGGAAGCACAAGGUGGAUGACCAAAAACCGGAGCUAGAGGUGUGGGUGCAAGAGUGGGGAUCUGGGAAGAAUGUUCUGGCCAGAGGCUCUCCCCUCUCCACCGGAAGGAAUAUAGCAAAUCCCCUAAGAAGGGGGAUGUAGAACCUGUGUCAAAGGCCUCCUAGCUGGGGACCAACAACUGCCAGUAGCUUCCAGGAGAUCUGGUACCUAGCACAGUCCUUGCACAUAAUAAUCCUUAAUCAACAUUUGUUGAAUGGAUAGAUGAAUCAAUGGCGAAU
ensembl:lncRNA